rnacentral:rRNA from 1 species
AGCUACAGGCUUAACACAUGCAAGUCGAGGGGCAGCAUGGUCUUAGCUUGCUAAGGCCGAUGGCGACCGGCGCACGGGUGAGUAACACGUAUCCAACCUGCCGUCUACUCUUGGACAGCCUUCUGAAAGGAAGAUUAAUACAAGAUGGCAUCAUGAGUCCACAUGUUCACAUGAUUAAAGGUAUUCCGGUAGACGAUGGGGAUGCGUUCCAUUAGAUAGUAGGCGGGGUAACGGCCCACCUAGUCUUCGAUGGAUAGGGGUUCUGAGAGGAAGGUCCCCCACAUUGGAACUGAGACACGGUCCAAACUCCUACGGGAGGCAGCAGUGAGGAAUAUUGGUCAAUGGGCGAGAGCCUGAACCAGCCAAGUAGCGUGAAGGAUGACUGCCCUAUGGGUUGUAAACUUCUUUUAUAAAGGAAUAAAGUCGGGUAUGUAUACCCGUUUGCAUGUACUUUAUGAAUAAGGAUCGGCUAACUCCGUGCCAGCAGCCGCGGUAAUACGGAGGAUCCGAGCGUUAUCCGGAUUUAUUGGGUUUAAAGGGAGCGUAGAUGGAUGUUUAAGUCAGUUGUGAAAGUUUGCGGCUCAACCGUAAAAUUGCAGUUGAUACUGGAUAUCUUGAGUGCAGUUGAGGCAGGCGGAAUUCGUGGUGUAGCGGUGAAAUGCUUAGAUAUCACGAAGAACUCCGAUUGCGAAGGCAGCCUGCUAAGCUGCAA